CUGGUCCCUGAGGUAAAAGAGAGAUGAGGGAAGCCAUCAAGACCAUUGGGAGGGAUAGAAGACAUUACUGUAAUUCCAGGACACAUUCUGAAACUCAAAGGUUGGAGACUUGUGCUAAAAGAACAUAGCAAAUUAAUAAAAUCAUGCAACUAGUGAGGCCCGGUCACCCGUAAACCUGCCUACUCGACCCCAUCCUCUCCUCCCUUCUCCAGACCAUCUCUGGAGUCCUUCUCCCAAUCCUCACCAACUCAUCCCUGACCACUGGCUGCGUCCCCUCUGACUUCAAAAUGUUCCGAGUCGCUCCCCUCCUCAUCAAACCAACACUCAACUCCUCUGACAUCAAAAACUACAGACUGAUCUAUCUGCUGCCUUCAACACCAGGAAUCAUCAGAUUCUACUCUUCAUCCUCUUAGUGCUGGCUGUCUCAAGCUCUGCACACUUUUGGAUUUUGUAUACUACUUGGCAAGCCGCUCCUACCAGGUGACGUGGAGAGGAUUUGUCUGCACCACGUACACUCACGACUGGUGUCCCCCAGGAUUUGGUUUUAGGCCCUCUCCUCUUCUCUCUAUACACCAAGUCACCCGGCUCUGUCAUAUCCUCACAUUGUCUCUCCUAUCAUUGCUAUGCGGAUGACACUCAACUAUUUUCUCCUUCCACCCUUCUGAAUAGGUUUGCAAAAAUGAUUUUAAAAAACUGUUUUUGCUUUGUCAUUAUGGGGUUUUGUGUGCAGACUGAUGAAGGGAAAAAACUAUUUAAACACUUUUAGAAUAAGGCUGUAAUGUAACAACAUGUGGAAAAAGUCAAUCAAAUCAAAUGUAUUUAUAUAGCCCUUUGUACAUCAGCUGAUAUCUCAAAGUGCUGUUCAGAAACCCAGCCUAAAACCCCAAACAGCAAGCAAUGCAGGUGUAGAAGCACAGUGGCUAGGAAAAACUCCCUAGAAAGGCCAAAACCUAGGAAGAAACGUAGAGAGGAACCAGGCUAUGAGGGGUGGCCAGUCCUCUUCUGGCUGUGCCGGGUGGAGAUUAUAACAGAACAUGGC
ensembl:lncRNA